CUUUGACACUGGAAUUUCACCGUCGGUUAAGGCCAUUUGAAAUCAGACGGAGGAGUGGUUUGAUGUCCAUGAUUAUAAACUUGGAGAAUCAGCCAGAGCACAAAAUGUGAAAAAGAGGCGUCAUGGAUGCUGCUAAUUGUCAUUGUUAUAAAUAGAAAAGGCAGGCUCCAUCUGCACAACUUGAACUCUCGAUUCAAACUUUGGAUGCAUCUGCAUUUUGGAGUGUGGGACCACAAGAUGUCCUCUCUGAUCUGAACACAUUCUGGAUAUCUCAGAGGUAACACCUGCUUUUCUCUUAAUUGGCAGUAAUGCGAAAAGGAUUUCUAGAACGAUGAUGAUGAUAAGAAUUUAUUUAUACCCCACCCAUUUGGCUGGGUUUCCCUAGCCACUCUGGGUGGCUCCCAACAGAAUAUUAAAAACACAAUAAAACACCCAACAUUAAAAACUUCCCUAGGGCUGCCUUCAGAUGUCUUCUAAAAGACAGUUUAUUUCCUUGACAUCUGAUGGGAGGGCAUUCCACAGGGCAGGCACCAGUACUGGGAAGACACAUUGCAUUGUGCCAUGCAGUGUGUGUUUGAUGUACUAUGGUUUUAUUGGGUUUCCCAGCUUUCAUGCCACAUCUCCUUUGAUUACAUCUCAUAGUCCUCACCCCCAAACUGCUCCCUCCCUCCCUCCCUCCCUCCCUUCUACUGCUGGCUACUUCCAGUCCUCCAAAGCCCAACUCCUUCAACUUUACCCAAAUGUUGCUGCUGCUCCUUGCUCACUCCUUGCCUCAGCACAUGUUGGUGGCCUCUGCUUCCUUCAGCAUCUCAGGUGCCUGCAUGCAAGAGGCAAGGGGGCAGUAAGGGGUGCACAGUAGUGCUUACCUCUGAGUAGCAUUAUUAAGCGAAAUCACUCACUACCCUACUUCAGCCUGACUUGUGGUGUAGUGGUUAAGAGCAGUAGUCUCGUAAUCUGGGGAACCGGGUUCGCGUCUCCGCUCCUCCACAUGCAGCUGCUGGGUGACCUUGGGCUAGUCACACUUCUCUGAAGUCUCUCAGCCCCACUCGCCUCACGGAGUGUUUGUUGUGAAGGAGGAAGGGAAAGGAGAAUGUUAGCUGCUUUGAGACUUCUUCGGGUAGUGAUAAAGCAGGAUAUCAAAUCCAAACUCCUCCUCCUCCUCCUCCUCCUCCUCCUCCUCCUCCUCCUCCUCCUCUGAGCCUUGUAGGGACAAUGAUGUUCACCUCCAUAACCGAUGCUUUAUUUGAUGUUAUUUGAAUUUUAAUAUUGUAUUUUUACUUAUUGCAUGACACAUGCUUAUGUAAGCAGCCUUGAAUUCACUUUGUGGGAAAAGGUAUGAUGUAAGUGCUUUGCAUAACUUUUUUUAAAAAAAAAUGCAUCGUAAACCAUUGCAUUCAAAAGCAAGUUGAUGCAGUCACAAUCAAAAUCACAUGACAUGCACAUCAGAGAGAAAGGAUGCGAUGGACCAAAGGAACUGAGUGGUGAGGCUAACUGGUAAUGCUCCAAUUCAUGAAGUUUGAGAAAAUAUCCAAGUUAAAUUAGAAUUUGGAAGGAGUGGGAUGCAAGGGAGAGAAAUAGUAAGAAGAAAGGAAGGGAGAAAUCCUCGCAUCCCUAACAGCUGCAACCAUUCAGAGGAGGGUGGGUAUAAUAAUUACUACUACUACUAUAUUUAUACCUUGCCCACCUGGCUGGGUUCCCCUGGCUACUCUGGGCAGCUCCCAACAGAAUAUCAAAAACACAAUAAAACAUCAAACAUUAAAAAUUUCGCUAAACAGGAUUGCCUUCAGGUGUCUUCUAAACGUCAGAUAGUUGUUUAUUUCCUUGACAUCUGAUGGGAGGGUGUUCCACAGGGCAGGUGCAAACACUGAGAAGACCCUCUGCCUGGUUCCCUGUAACCUCACUUCUUGGAGGGAGGGAACAGGCAGAAGGCCCUCGGAACUGGACCUCCGUGUCCAGGCUGAACGAUGGGGGGGGGGAGACGCUCCUUCAGCUGAAACUAGUAAGGUAGGGUUGAAUCCAGCAAGGACAUUGUACAUAUGGAAUAUGUGUUCAAGCAAUUGAACUUCCUUGUCCUCUUCUCCCUGAUGUGCCCCUGAGUCCCACUUCCCAAAUCUACUCCGGAGAGUUGGGGGAUGUCAAGAGUUGGAGGAAGUUAUGGAAGAGGGAGGGCAGGGAGGAAGGAAGGAGGGUUGGGAAGUGUGUUUAUCAUUUGGGCUCCAAGGUUUCUGCCAAAGUUCAUCAAAGAAACAGAAAACUACCUUAGGUUGCCAUGCAGGCUGCCCAAUUUCUCUUCUGUCAGUGCUCCCUUUCCUUUAGAACAUGUGCAAAAUUCAGAAAUUCUCAAUUUGCAUUGUGUCCUGGCAUGAUUAAGAAAGCUGCAUCUGCACUUACUGGUUUUAUGAUGGCCAAGGAGUUAUGAAAGCAGAGUACCUCAGCUGAGAGGGAAGUGGUAGCCUCUCCAAGGAGCAACCUUAUGUAUCAUUAAGGUGCACUUUAUAUCUCCCGUGUGGGGAGAUACAUCAGCAAAGCCAGUUUUGUUUCUAUGCCUUCGGGGAACCUUGAAGCUCCUUCCUUGAGCUGCUUAGAUCCUUGCCCCACCUGUGGCAACUAAGGGCAUUCGGACUAAUUCCUGCUCUCCUUCUGUUGCUGAGUUUGCCAGGAAAAAAAAAAUCAGGCUUCUUUGCUUAUUACAAAGUGUUCCUUGGGCAGCAGCAACACAGCCACUCAUUUUUAACAUUACUCUUUCGUAUGUUGUCAACCACCCUGUGAUCUUUGGAUGAAGGGCAGAAUACACAUUUUAUUUUAUUUUAUUUUAUUUUAUUUUAUUAUUAUUAUUAACAACAACAACAACAAUAAUAAUAACUGAAGCUAAAUACAAUGCUAAUUUGGGUUUUCCUGCUCAGGCAAAACAUUCCGGAGAAUUUUGAGGGCAGAUGAAGAGCAUCAAUAAGGCUAGCAAAAAAUGUUUGAAAGCUAUUCCUCGUGCAGACAGCCAACAAGCUAUGGGGAACACUCACUUCUCAUUAGAAUCCACUAGGUGCCUUUGAAAGUCUCAGCUAGAAUGUCUGAUGCAGUUUGUCGCUGACAAUAUAACAAUACUCUGUCUUGACAGGCCUAAUGCUGGAGAUUGGAAUAAUGGUCCACGUCGGGUGUUUAACCACUUAAGAAAUUCAGGGUGAUAAGCCUCUGGCCGGGAGGUUAUGAGUCAACUGCGCUGCCAUAUUACACUCUGCUAGUUUCAAGUCACAGACAUUUCAGAAUUGUCACCCCCCCUCCUCCGCCCUCAACCAAAAUAUGCUCUCCCUAGUGUGAUACUGUCACAUAGGAAACCUGUGGUGAUACUUCUCAAAGGCAGUGACAUUAAGACACCGCAUUCAAUUGAGCACAUCGCCUAAGUGAAAAACCAUUUAACCCUGGGUUUAAUAGGUGCCUGCCAUCCCCACAGACAAAUGGAAUGGAGGAUUGAGUUGAGGUUAAAUCAGAUUUAGUUAGAAGAAGUUGUGGGAUGUGUGCUUUGGGGGGGGGGCAAGUUAAAUUAGAAAACAGCCUGUGGCAAGUUAUUAACUUUUCAUUAGGCUCAAACAAAAGAACAUAAUUCCUAUUAUAGCAUGUCAGAGGCUUUAUUUUUAGUAGCAGAAAUGCAAAAUAGUGGCGGGAGGAAAUCAAUGUAAACUUGUAAAAUAUUAAAUCCGCUUAAGGCGUAAGUGCAACCUAUUAAACCCAGGAACUAGCACUGUGGAAAGCAAACUCCUAGAAACUAAAGGCUUGGUUAUGCUGGAGAAAAAACAAGGGUACCAGCACUAUGAGGGAAGGGAAUGACUUGGGAGAAUUGCUGAAUGGAUGGUGAGCAUUGUUCUUCUGCAUCAGUGGUGAACAAAAAGAAUUACCUAAUGUUGGCUCCAAUGGCUUCUGUGAAACUGCCCAAUGAGCUCAGUCACCAAAAGCAGCAGUAGGAAAUAUUUUCUGAACUUCCUAUGUAUUGGGGCAAAAGAACAGAUGGGGAGCAAACCACUCCCUUGUGGAUUGCACAUAUUUGUUCACUUAUAUGCAGGAAACGUUAGCGGUAGUAUGUUCUGAAUACCAGUUGCUGGAAACCGCAGGGGAGUGCUAGUGUACUUGGGUCUUGCAGGCAGACUUCCCAUUGGCAUCUGGUCGGAUGCGGUGAGAACAGGAUGGCGGACUAAAUGGACCUCUGGCUUGAUCCAGCAGGAUCUUCUUAUGUUCUUAAGAAGUACUUGCUAGAUCAAGCCCAAACCCCUUCCAAUCCAGCAUUUCAUCAACAGUAGGUAGUCAGAUGCCUCUAGGAAGCUCACAAUACAGGAAUGAAAAUUAUGAUCACCCUUUCCUGGGCAUAUCUUUAAGUUCCUCUGAACAUAGAAGCUCCACUUAGCCAUCAUGACUGAUACCCGUUCACAUAUCCUCCAUUAAUUUGCCACACACCCUUAAACCUACCUCUACUGUUUGGCCGUUGCCAUAUCUUUUGGGGGGUUCAUCUGGCAGUUUGCAAAGAAGUACUGCUUGGUGUCUUUGAUGAAACUACCGUCCAUCAAAUCCACCAGGCCUGUGGAUUGUCAGGUUCAGUGAAUUCCGAUCCUCCCCCCUCUCACAGCAGACAGCCAAGGAAGGAGACAAGGAAGUAGACAAGGAAGCUCUUAACGAGUCUUUAUUCAACAUUCACAGUGAGAGGCCUCUGUACGCUGCCUCUUAGGUUAAUGGUGUUGCUCCAACUGAGCCCCUCUAAUUUUCUCUGAGUCAUUUGCUCUUCCACUUUCAAUGCAUGCUGUGUUCUGGGAGAAAGGGGGGCAGAAAUGCUCUCCAGUGAUAACAUGUCAGCUGACUGCUCUGUCUCUGUCUCCCCCUUCUCUUCUCCCAGCACCUCCCAACUCUUCAGUUCAUCUGUAUCUGAGCUGUGAGCUUCCUCAAACCACAAAUUCAAUUCCUCUUCUCUGGAAGGUUCAGGAGGAGGUGGGCGGUCUCCACCAUUCCUCCUCAGUGUCGUCCCUGAUACCCAUACAUUAAAGUUUACCCCUCACAGAACUACAAUUCCUGUCAUCCUUAACAAAUUACAGU
rnacentral:lncRNA from 1 species